GACGAACGCUGGCGGCGUGCUUAACACAUGCAAGUCGAACGGAAAGGCCCCUUUGGGGGUACUCGAGUGGCGAACGGGUGAGUAACACGUGAGUAACCUGCCCUUGACUUCGGGAUAACUUCAGGAAACUGGGGCUAAUACCGGAUAGGAAUCCUUGCUGCAUGGUGGGGGUUGGAAAGCUUCGGCGGUUUUGGAUGGACUCGCGGCUUAUCAGCUUGUUGGUGGGGUAGUGGCUUACCAAGGCUUUGACGGGUAGCCGGCCUGAGAGGGCGACCGGCCACAUAGGGACUGAGAGAAGGCCCAGACUCCGACGGGAGGCAGCAGUGGGGAAGAUUGCACAAUGGGCGGAAGCCGGAUGCAGCAACGCCGCGUGCGGGAUGACGGCCUUCGGGUUGUAAACCGCUUUCAGCAGGGGCGAAGCUUGUGGUGACGGUACCUGCAGAAGAAGCACCGGCUAACUACGUG
rnacentral:rRNA from 1 species